rnacentral:rRNA from 1 species
UGCCAGACUCCUACGGGAGGCAGCAGUGGGGAAUAUUGCACAAUGGGGGAAACCCUGAUGCAGCAACGCCGCGUGAGUGAAGAAGUAUUUCGGUAUGUAAAGCUCUAUCAGCAGGGAAGAAAAUGACGGUACCUGACUAAGAAGCUCCGGCUAAAUACGUGCCAGCAGCCGCGGUAAUACGUAUGGAGCAAGCGUUAUCCGGAUUUACUGGGUGUAAAGGGAGCGCAGGCGGUACGGCAAGUCCGAUGUGAAAGCCCGGGGCUCAACCCCGGGACUGCAUUGGAAACUGCCGCACUAGAGUGCCGGAGAGGUAAGUGGAAUUCCUAGUGUAGCGGUGAAAUGCGUAGAUAUUAGGAGGAACACCAGUGGCGAAGGCGGCUUACUGGACGGUAACUGACGCUGAGGCUCGAAAGCGUGGGGAGCAAACAGGAUUAGAUACCCUAGUA